AGGCUGCAGAUGCAAUACUGAAAAAGUUUCCUGACCAUGGAGAAACAUUGUCAAUGAAGGGGUUAACCUUAAAUUGCAUGGAUCGGAAAACUGAAGCUUAUGAGCUUGUUCGGCUAGAAUGAUGUAAAAAGUCAUGUUUGCUGGCACGUUUAUGGUCUCCUCUAUCGGUCAGAUAGAGAAUACAGGGAGGCUAUCAAAUGCUAUCGCAACGCUUUGAGAAUAGAUCCAGAC